GGGAUGGUAGCAUAACACGGAUAGUGCCCUUGGCCUGGAACCAAGUACGUGGAGGUUCAAAUCCUUCCCAUCCCACCA
rnacentral:tRNA from 1 species